rnacentral:lncRNA from 1 species
CAGGUCAUUCCUUUUCUUCUUCUUUCUUGGGUUAACUUUUUUUUUUUUUGGGAUUUUUUUUCUGGCGUUAAUUUUAUUUAAAACCUUUUUAUUUUCUUUUUAAUCUCUACAACAAUAUCCACUAAUAAAUUGACAUUUUCUUGAAAAAAACAAAAAUUGAUGGUGGCCAGUGAUUUCAUUUGAGAAUUGGGAUCGAAGGAGAAUGUGGCGGCUGACUCAAUGUUGUUUAUAUGUUUCUGGGCUGUCAUGAAAAACUCCAGAUCUUCAACCAAGCUUCAAACAAACCCAAAAAAAAACCCAAAAAUCGACAAUUUUUGUGUGCAAGAAUCUGCGGCGAUCUGGGUAAAAGAUUUAGUCAUGAUCAUGGAUCACUUUCUCUAUUUCAAUGGAUGAAGAUUUGCCUUUGUAUUUACCAUCAGCAUCAAACCUCUUUCACUCAUCUUGCUUGUGAUUGCCAAUCUCAAAUCUCUCUGUUUUCCUUUCUCUUUUUUUUUCACUUAAAUUUGAUUUUAACAUUGUUAAAAGAGAUGACAGCGUAAUGUAGCAGCACCACCUCAAAGGAGCAAGAAGACGAGAAGAGAGAAAUUUUUUUGGAAAAUAUUACAGUAGCUUUAUUUUUUUGACGUUGAAGACAGGUAUUGAGAAG